GGCGGACGGGUGAGUAACACGUUGAGAAUUUGCCUUUAGGAGGGGGACAACAAUUGGAAACGAAUGCUAAUACCCCAUAUGCUUUCACGAGUAAAAUGGAUUUUAUUAUCUGCCUAAAGAGAAGCUCGCGGCUGAUUAGCUUGUUGGUAAGGUAAAAGCUUACCAAGGCGACGAUCAGUAUCUGGUUUGAGAGGACGAUCAGACACACUGGAACUGAGACACGGUCCAGACUCCUACGGGAGGCAGCAGUGGGGAAUUUUCCGCAAUGGGCGAAAGCCUGACGGAGCAAUACCGCGUGAGGGAAGACUGCCUAUGGGUUGUAAACCUCUUUUUUCA
rnacentral:rRNA from 1 species